GGCGCGGUGGUAGAGUGGUUAUGCAGCGGAUUGCAAAUCCGUGAACAGCGGUUCGAAUCCGCUUCGCGCCUCCA
rnacentral:tRNA from 1 species